CAAAGUCUGUCACAAAUCAAACUUCCGGUCAUCGAAAUAAAAGAAAAACAUACGCACAUGCAUUCAAUCAAAAUCCAAGGGAAGGGGACAGGGAAAGACAGGAGAAGAGAAGCAAGAGCAAGGAAAAGACCCAGUGUCAACCGUCCAGCAUGCAGUGGAGACAGACACGGAUAAAGACAUGGACGAAACAAUUGCUGCUGGCCAGUUUUCCGUUCUAUACAGAUCACCAUGUCAUGAUGUCAUCAUGGCAGCCUGUGCUGAUUGCUGUGGGCGUGGCUCAGCUGGCAGGUGGCUCCAGGUUGCAGCCUGCCUUGCUCGUUCGUUUGCCUGCCUGCCUGCCUGCCUACCUGCCUGCCUGCUUGCUCCUCACACCUGCCCUUCUCUCUCUACGGAUUGGACUCAAUUGUUUGGACUCUGGAGGAGGCCUACCACAUGG